UACGUAGGGGGCUAGCGUUGUCCGGAUGUAUUGGGCGUAAAGAGCGUGUAGGCGGCCAGGUAGGUCUGCUGUGAAAACUCGAGGCUCAACCUCGAGACGUCGGCGGAAACCAUCUGGCUUGAGUCCGGUAGAGGAGCAGGGAAUUCCUGGUGUAGCGGUGAAAUGCGCAGAUAUCAGGAGGAACACCAGCGGCGAAGGCGCUGCUCUGGGCCGGUACUGACGCUGAGGAGCGAAAGCGUGGGGAGCGAACAGG
rnacentral:rRNA from 1 species